rnacentral:lncRNA from 1 species
GAGUUGUGGGCCUUCCAAAGAUGGCCACGGUGGUUAGUACCAUGGUGGCCAUCGUGGUCACUACUGCGGUGGUGCCACUCCAUUUACCGUCGCGUUGAGCCUCGUGGAUCUCCGUGGUCCCAAUUCUUGAACGUUGAAAUUUUUGUUCAUCAUGGUUUCCAAAUUUCUUAUCAUUGUCCUUUUCUUUUACAUUGAUUCAAAGAAUUUUUAUAAAAAAAAAAUUCUAGGAAUGAGAACGUAUGAAAAAUCUACAAAUUAACAAGGAAACGAAAAACCUUGAAUGCAAGAGUCUUUUUUCAAGCGUUUGAAUCAAGGAUCUCAAUGAAGGCCCCAAUUUUUGGAUGCAAAUUUCUGCCUUCUUCUUCUUGGACGAAAAUGCACUUGCAAAACAAUUAACACCUUAGGUCAAAGCCAAGAGCCUCACGAGCCCAUGAUGAAUUUAGGGGGGCUUUGGACGAAGAAUCUCCGAUGCCAAAGUUAGAAUUUGAAAAAGAAAGUGUUUAGAGAAAUUUGGAGAAUUUUAGAAGAGAAUUGGAUUUAGGUUUUUGGAGAAAUGAGGAGCUAUAUAUAGGGCUGUGGCUGGCCUUAUUUGGAGAAAUAGGGACCGGCCACUUAUGGUGGUGAUUUGAGUGUAAUUGCAAUCAAUUAGGCAAUUAAUCAAUUAAUUGGGUAAAUAAUCAAUUAAUUAGCUAAUCAAUCCUAAUUUGAAAAGAAUAAUUUGGGAGCUACCUUGUGGGGAGGAUUUGAUGAGGAUUGAUGAAAAGGGUUUUGAAUGAAUACCAUCUUGACCACCUUUGACCUUGAUUGGGCCGUUAUUGUCCGUUGCAUGCGCAUGGGAAUCUCGGUGUGCCUCGAGGGUAAUUUUGUCCUUUUCACCCAAAAGUUCUCGGUGUGCCUCCAUAAUUUUUUUUAUUAUUUUUGGUUCCACAAAUAUACCCUUAAGUUUAUAAAUUAUUAUAUAUGUAAAUGCACAUAAUCACUUAACUUUAAGAUUAAUAGUUGGACGGAUUCCUUAAUUAUAGGAUUUGAACUAAUCCGUUCGUAACUUAAAACACUCUCGUAAGAAUGAUAGGUUGGGUGAUUUUGGGGGAUUUUGGGGUGAUUAUGAGGGAUGAGAUGUUGAGUAUUGGUCUGCUGUUAGGCAUCAAGUGGGAGUAUUGAUGCGAAAUAUAUAAGCACACAAAUUAAACCCUCUUUUUAUCAAUUGUAGUAAAGUAUGUAAG